CCGCGGAGGUGGGCGCUGAGCGGGACCCUGGGAUCAGCUUGUGGGAGCCGCGUCUACCGCGACGGGGACCAGUAAAAUUUCUAGCCUUCUGCAGAUACUUCAGCAAGGGAGAGAACCUGAAGCACGAGUGGUUAUUUUUGUAGUCCAUUAAAAUGUUUCGGUUUACCAGGGAUUGAAGAUAGAUAUCUAAGCGGCCGAUAGAGCCAGAACGCCCCAGGGCAACUACCUGAGCGAGCCCAGGCCCUUCUCAGUAGAUACAAACUAUACUCACUACUCCUGGUCUAGGGAGGGUGAAGGUGCGUCAAGGACUAAGCAGUGGGAUGUGUGGGGCCCACAAACAGAAGGAGGGACUUAGGGCGUCGAAAAAAGUGCCAAGUGAAGGCUCCGCCACUAGAACCACCACACCCCAGUACCUAUUCCUGCAGAGAUUUCUGCUGUGAUAGGCGUUUACUUUUCUGAUCAAAGUGGAAAUGAAUGUUACCCCUCGAGAUGCUUACCUUUAAUAUUCUUGAUGUCCACAAGGAAGGAGGAUGUGAAAAGAACAUUGGCAGUGGCGUGGGAACCGGAACGGCGAGUGGGCCAGCCCAGCGCCCGCUAAAUCACAUCUGAUACUGCCAACACCUGUAAGACUCAAUGGGUGUAUCUCAGACUUCCCUUCAUGACUCAGUCAGCCUGCGUCAGGACAGAUGAAUUGUCAGCGCUCUCUUAGGGGCCUCCAAUAAACCAAGUAAUUCUAGGAGUUUGAGGCUUUGGACAACACUAAUCAACCAAGUGAUCAAAGAAGCACACUACUGAGAGGGAGUCUCCAUCAACCUGGAUUCCUGAGCGAUGAUGAAUAGAAUCCCUUGCUAACCUUCAGAAGACAUGUGUAAAAUCAGACACUAUGGAUAAGCCAAAGAAGCCAGUUAACAGAAAGAGGAGAAUGGGACAGAGCUGCUAAGAGAAUGCUCUCCCCUACUGCUGCCAGAGGAAUCUUCUGAAAGUCAACACUGAUCAUGUUCCUACUCUUAAAAGAAGUUGUAGAAGGAAGGAAGAAGAAAGGCUGAGAGG